UGGGUAGUCAUAUCUGGCAUUUAUAAGUUAUUUCAACAGCUAGAUCAGUAAAUCUAUCAGAUGAGAGUAGAUAAAAGAAAGUUCUUUGUCAUUUUUGCUUUAUUUGAUAGCACAACCAAAUGCCCCAUGGAGGUCGAGGAGGUUCUGACGAGUGGUUCUAUGAGGACCAUACAUAAAUGUGAAUGACUAACCAUAUCUCUGAAGAUGGAUUCCUGGCAAAAGUAGUCUUGUAUUCCCCGUAGCUGGCUUUGAAGAUGGAAGAAACACAGCUGUUACCGUUGCUGCAGUUAGCUCAAAGCUGUGGGGUCCUGGGCGUUGAUGACAUAUCCUAGACCAGAUUGUAGCAGCAACAAUCAAGAACUAGAGCAGUCCCCUUUGACUGUUUCAGCACACUUUGGAUCAGGGACACAGAGGAAAAAGUUAUUUUUAACAGCUAUUUCACUCAGGAGGAUUGACAAUGCAGUGGACACCUGCUGUGACCAAAGAAACCUUCAGUGAAAUGGGAGAUUGAAUUUAAUACAAAAAUGCAGCAUGGAUGAUCCAUCUCACAACAGUUCUUCAGGAGUACUGUUGAGUGGUCUCAGCAAUAGCUCGUAGAUUAUACACCAAAGAAGGGGAAGAACAAAGGAUGCUGUCUGUCCUAAAGAGAUAAUAAAAUAAAGAUGGACAGAAAAAGAAUCA
rnacentral:lncRNA from 1 species